CUGUCACUCAUCCUGCCUAGACAUGCCACACUCAUCCUGUCACUCUCACCUCCCCUUGCCUUGUCACACUUUCUCCUUAAACCGUGCCACACUCACCCCAACAGUGAAUACAGAGACAAGCUCUCUGUAUCCAGCGCUGCAAGCCUGUCAUACAUUAUAAGUACAGCUCAUUAUACACACGAUGCAACCCCUAUAUGUUUUUUUACUAUGAGUGUUAGUGGGGGGCCUCUUGUUUGAGAUUCGC